rnacentral:misc_RNA from 1 species
UUUCCGUAGGUGAGUACUUGCAAGACUUCUCUCGAUAUCUGUGAACAUAUGCUAACGUCAAUAGGUGAACCUGCGGAAGGAUCAUUACUGGGUUGGCGCGAGCCGAUUACCCGUCCUUGUCAUUGUAAACGUCGUUUCGGCGGUGGAGCGAUCCCCGCCGGCAGCAACCCUCGAAUGAUGAAGUCUGAAUCUACGAAACGAACAAAACUUUCAACAACGGAUCUCUUGGUUCUGGCAUCGAUGAAGAACGCAGC